rnacentral:rRNA from 1 species
GACGAACGCUGGCGGCGUGCUUAACACAUGCAAGUCGAACGGAAAGGCCCUGCUUUUGUGGGGUGCUCGAGUGGCGAACGGGUGAGUAACACGUGAGUAACCUGCCCUUGACUUUGGGAUAACUUCAGGAAACUGGGGCUAAUACCGUAUAGGAGCUCCUGCAGCAUGGUGGGGGUUGGAACGUUUCGGCGGGUGGGGAUGGACUCGCGGCUUAUCAGCUUGUUGGUGGGGUAGUGGCUUACCCAGGCAUUGACGGGUAGCCGGCCUGAGAGGGUGACCGGCCACACUGGGACUGAGGUACGGCAGAGACUCCUACGGGAGGCAGAAGGGGGGAAUAUUGCACAAUGGACGGAGGCCUGAUGCAGCAACGCCGCGUGCGGGAUAGCGGCCUUCGGGUGAUAGACCGCUUUCGCCUGUGACGAAGCGGGAGUGACGGUAAUGGGUAAAGAAGCACCGGCUAACUACGUG